rnacentral:sRNA from 11 species
AACGCAGAAAAAUUAAUAGUUGCCAAAAACCAUAAAAACUAAGUACUUAGCAGUUGUCAUCAUGAUAUACCCAAUCAUCCUGUUUUGCCCCAGGCUUGUUCAAACAAUUCCUUGCGUUGUCCAUCGGUAAACUUUUCCUUUGAGCUCCACUCAAAAUGCUUAAAAUACUCAUAGC